CAAAUUUUGUUGCCUAACUGCCAAAUAGCUACCAGAGACAUAGAAGAGGUUCCAAUCACUUAGCCCUUGACAUAUAAAAUGAGCGAUAUUUUGAGGUUCUUUAUUUGUGAGUGUAGCAUCAGAGCUAAAGAAUCAGCUAAACAGCUACCUGCGACAUUGGAGAG